rnacentral:rRNA from 1 species
UAGAGUUUGAUCAUGGCUCAGGACGAACGCUAGCGGCAGGCCUAACACAUGCAAGUCGAACGGUAAGGUCCCUUCGGGGAUACACGAGUGGCGCACGGGUGCGUAACGCGUAUGCAACCUACCCUUAAGAGAGGGAUAGUCGCGGGAAACUGCGAAUAAUACCUCAUGUUAUUACGAAAUGGCAUCGUUUUGUAAUCAAAGUUCCGGCGCUUAAGGAUGGG